AUGAAUUUAAAAAAGGAAAAAAAAAAGAUUUAAUGGGUUUUUGUAGAAUCCAACGCCAACCAAAAAUUACAAUCCUCACACUUAAAUAUCAAAUAUAAACAAAAUAACAAAGCCAGAGGCGAAUCACAGAAGCAGUGAGGAAUUUUUGUGAUAACAAAUUUCUCUCAAAUCCCAAGAUUGCUUGCUCUGGAAAUUGGUUCACGUAUCAGUAAACAUGCGAUUCAGGAAAGGCAGUAAAGUGGAAGUGCUAAGCAAAAAGGAGGCGCCUUCGGGCUCCUGGCAUUCUGCUGAGAUUAUGUCUGGCAGUGGUCACUAUUAUACUGUUAGAUAUGACAAAUUUGAGGGUGGCAGUAAUCAAACUGUUGUGGAGAGGGUAUCGCGUAAGGCUAUCAGGCCUUGUCCACCUACUCAGGAAGUUUUGGAAAAUUGGGUUCCCGGUGACGUUGUGGAGGUAUUUAAUGACCGUUCUUGGAAAAUGGCUACGGUUUCUGAGGUUUUGGGGAAGAAAAACCAUUUGGUCAGAUUACUUGGAUCUUCUUGUGAAUUUAAGGUCAACAAAUUUGACAUUCGGGCAAGAAGGUCUUGGCAAGAUGACAAAUGGGUUUUGGUGCACAAGAAAUCUUGCAAUCUUGGUGAUGAUAGCAAAGAAGAUGAGAAUGCAAGCCCUGGUUUUCAUGGUCUGAGCUCCCAAAUUCAGAAUUGCCAAAACGCUUCUAACUUCGAGAGCCGCAAAAGGGGAUCAAACUAUGAGUAUUCUCAAGCUGAAUCAAUGGCUAGAGCUGCCUUGAAAUGUAGGGUGUUGAAGAAAAAGCGAAGAUAUCAUGGAGUGGUUGCUGGAAAUCCUUCCACGUUGCACAGGCAUGUAAAAUCAAUUGCUAUCCAAAGAGGUAUGCUAGGGGAAAAUUUUGGAGGUGCUUCUUUGGAUCGAACCGACAUUUAUGAAAUGAACAGUGAUAGGAAGAAACUAAUGGGUGUAGCUUACCAAUCUCUUCAAGAAAGAAUUGAACUAAACGAUGCUGAUAGAGCUACAUGCUCUGUUGGCAGUUGCAGUGUCUCUAACAGUGACGACCGCGGGUUACCUUUUCAUGUUUCUAUUGGUCGCAAUGAAGAUACGGAUGGUUCUAGAAGUGAUGCUGAAUCUUUUUGUCAUUUGGGAUAUGGAACAGGCAAUUUUCUUCUAUCCAGAGACAAACCAUUGGAAGCUGAAAUCCAUAGAAUCUAUCCUGUGAUAGCUUAAUCAUCAUUGUACCACUUGGAACUCUGAGAAAUUUCACUUGAGAACACUGUUGAUGCAUUUGUUCCAGUGUUGAAGUUGGGGGCUUUUGCGCGCCACACUUCUAAUGUUUAUAUGGGUUAUUGCAUCCAUUCAACUAAGGACAUGCUUGAGCCUGACAUCCUUCCUUCUGUGGAGGAUUAGACUCUUCUUCAUGUUUGGGGCUGACCUCUCUUCUUAAUGGUUGAAACAAAGGUCUGUCAAAUUUUCACACGAAACUAUACAAUUAAGUAACAGUCUUUUAGUUUUUUCAUCUAUUAUACUUUAAUUCAUUGAAGUUUGCUGCAUGUCUCUGUCACCAGGAGAUCCUCAUGAUAAAAUCUUUAAAGAAGAAAGAGAGAAAGAGAGAAAGAGAGAAAGAGAGAAAGAGAGAGAAGCAAGCCUAGAAUCAUUUCAUUUGACAUUUUAAAGUUAAAUUAUAAAACGUAUGGAGUGAAAGCACAAAUAACUUGAUCUUGAUGUUUUAUUUAGAUCUUUUAGGCAACUUGUUACUUUGAUGUUAUAGCGUUGAAUGUUUUGAUGGGUAGGAGAGAAAGGGCAUAUUUGUUUCCCUCAGGAAUCUGUUCCGUGGGGGAACAGGAACCUCUAAGAUUAUUUAGUUUUUUUUUUUUUUGCUAGUUUAGUGGUCCUGCGAAGUGGGAACUCCAAUUUCCCUGAAGCUGCUUCAUUUUGGAAUUGUCUAUUUGGAACAUUUUCAAAUUUUCAGCAGUAAAACACAAUGUUCUGUACAUAUUUUGGAGGUAUCAAAACUCCUUAUCUGCCAUUGUUUCACUGACCCUCUUGACAUUGCCAACUGUCAAAAGUCUGAUAAGGGCCUCAUGUACAGUAUUAUAAAUCACGGCAUUUGAUUGUGUCUGAAUAGGGACCAAGCUACUGAUAGGAUAAACUUGUGAAAUGCUUGUCUUUUAUGUUUUUAAUUCUUCAGGUGAUUACUCAAGGAACUUCAUAGUUUUCAUAGGAUUAUACCUCUUCUUGAUGUAGCAUCAGUUUAUAUAUAUAUAUAUACACAUAAUGAUUGAGGCAAACAUCUUACAGAGAACAUAUACUAAAGGCGAAAGAAACUGACAAUUUUUAGGUAUCUUUUAUGAUCACAUCCUCAGGUUUCUGAAAUGGAUAUCUGCACUGCACAUCAUGUUCACUGUUCUAUGUACACCACUGGUUAUGGAGCUACAAUUCAGUCUUCAAUUAUGAAUGAUCAUUCUUCAUGGUAUUAAUUUAAAAAGUUCUUUGUUACAACGACGGAUCUAUUUCUCUUUGAUGAACAUGUUGACUAAAAAGUCAACAACUCCCUAUUGGGGGGAGCAGUAGGGGGGUGAAUUUCCCACCCUAGUUAAUUUGUACAAUGCAAUAGUUUAUUUCUUGUUUUUAAAUUUGCAAAUAUGAAUUAAAUAAUGACCACUAGACAACCUCACAUAAUAGGUACAUGAUCCAGGUAACAUAAAAUAGAAUUGAUGGAUUCUGUUUCUUCCUUCUUAUCCAAUGCAUACAUAUGUUAUUUUCAUGAGAGUAAAAAUAGGUUAAUUUUAGAAGGCUUGAUAGUGUUUUUAUGUGCAUCCUGCAGACAUAUCAUACUCUAGAGAUGUAUAGUUCCAGCUCGGCGUUAAAGCCAGUGUAGAACUUGUCUCAAAGCUGUGGGUGGAUUUCCCCUCAUGCUCCUCAAUUGCUUUCAGAUGCAUAAAGAGUGAGCCUUGCUCUAUAACUAUCAUGCUUAUUGGAACGUUUGAAUCCAAAAAAGCCUCAUCUCAUCAUUAAUUCUUUUGUUUUACUUUCUUAAUUAGUCUUCAUUUCAUUUCACUGACUCCUGUGCCUGAUCAUGCCUGCUUUUUUAGACGAAUUAGCAGAACUACUGUUCACAUUCAUUUUACUUUCUUUUUUUGGCUUUAAUGUCCAUAGAUUUCUCCAUUUUUGUUCUUCAUCUUCACUUGACUUGAAAUUUGGCACUAUUGCUUGACCCCCAAUAUUUGAUAGCAAGGAAAAUUCAGAAUCCUGAGUGGAUUUUUGUUCCAUGGUCGAUUCUUUUAGGAAGAGCAUUGUACUGGCUGUUUACUGUUGUAGUGUUGUGUGAGGUAUAUUACAAGAACGCAACCUUUGUUUCUCAAUUAUUCUGCUUUCUGUUUCAAAAUUUGCCUGCAUAAAAACAAAAACAAACAGGGUUUUUUUUGGCAUUGAUUGGUACUGAUGGGGCAUCUUCUUGUUUGUCUUUCUAUUUUAUAUACUGAAUUGAUCUGAAACAGUUUGUUCACUGUAAUGGCUAGAUAAAUUGUGGUUAAGGUAAAAUCUAUUGUUCGACCUAAGAAUCUUCUGAAGUUUUCAUGUGAGUUAGUUACAGAAUCGAGGGCUUAAAAAUAAGUUUAAAUAUGGUUUUUGUGGCUGAAUAUUUAAAAUUUUGAUCUUUGUCCUUAAAUUUUUUACUUCUAUUUUUAUUCUUUUAGCUUUUGAAGCUAUUUUAGGCCCUACCAUAAAAGCUUACCUUCAGUCCCUGCCACAAAAGGGAAUGUAGAUGUGGCAUAUGGAUACAUGACGUGUUAUAUCAUGUUUCAAUAGAAGGACUUGAGUAUUGAAAUCAGAAUUGUAAAAGUUGAAUGGCCAAAAUGAAAAUAGAUAAAGUUUAGGGACUAGAAUCAAAAUUUUAAAAGUUUAGGGAUAAAACUAGAAAAAAAAAAUCCAAAACUAUAUCUCUAAAACUAUAAAGAAAACAUUUUGAUAGUAUCCAACAUUGAAUGUUAGAAGUAGGUGACAUUUAAAGAAUAUGAAAUUGAAUAUGAAGAACCACAAUGCCUAACUAUCCAACAAGAUAGUAAAAACCCCACUAAGUUUUGUUGGGCCAGCAGGUCUAGUCGAAUCAAUGCAUUGUUUGUAAUAGUAAUAGCAAUCCAUCUUACAACCAAGUCUAUUGUUCCACUCUAAGAAAGUCAUACUUUUGAACUCAAAAUCUCUUGCUGUUUAAUUUCUUAUGUCCUCUCCUUCAACAGCAGCUUUUUAGUGGAAAACUUCUUCAACCCAUAUGAUAAAUGCUUCUCCACUAAUGGUACAGUUUACCCCAUUUGAUGGAGUUUUUGUUUUCUAUCCCCCCUCCCCCCAAAAAACACUAUUUCUCUGAUGUUAUAAGGUCUUACUUGAAUAGGUUCUAUUCUAUACGUUGUACACGGAGAUGGGUUCUUGCGAUUUCAUGUUUAUAGAGAAAACGAAGGCCGUGUACCGAUACGGCCAAAGUCUCUUUGUUUGGUUGGUCUGUGUAAAUUAUAAGCAGUCAAAAGAAGGGGUAAAUGAGAUGGGUAGAAAGGAAGAGGGAAAGAGAGUAGGAAUAAGGAUUGGCACAUGGGAGUUGGGUGAGUUAUAGUUAAAUCACAUCUUUUCAUGUUUAUUUGGAAGGGAAAGGGAAAAAAAGUUGAUUCUGGGUUGGAAAAAGGUUCUGUUUAGAAACAGGGAAUUGGGUUGCCAGAGGCUUAGCUGUAGGCUAUGCAGGUGGAAUUGUCAUCCAGUUAACAAACAGAGCUCCAAGUUUUGGCAAAAAUGAGCAGUGCAUUUAUGUGGCUCCACGAAAUCCUCUCCUGUUGUCUCGUUUGCACCUCUUCAUGAUUGCUAUUCCCAUGUGAUUUUGCCUCCCACACUCUUAGACACAGAAAGUAAGAGAGAGAGAGGGGAGGCUCUGUUGUAUUGUAUAUACAUAUAGGAUCUUCAUUUCAGUGAUCUGUUGUGGAAAAUGAUCUUGAAUAAUCAAGUGAUUUGUUAUGAAAGUAUUGGUAUUGUCUUGAUGAUC